CCCAGGAGCGGUCUAUGCAUGGCGUCUGUGUCCAGCACACUUGCCCUCUUCCAGAACUCUGACAGGCGGGGUCUCACUGCCCGGUGCCACCCCUCUGAGAACCAUUCCUGGAGAAAAGACCUGUAGGCUGUGAUGUUUGGAGCUGGCACAGUCAUCUUGUCUCCUUGAAGCAUAACAUCAUCAACAUGCUGAGGAUGGAAGAGCAGAGAGCUGAAAGGAGCCGGGGCCCUGGUGAGCAUGGUGAGGUGCCAGUUCAGCCUUGGGAUAGCUUACUUCCAGUCCUCCUACUAAGGAAGCAGUCAAUGUACCUAUACUAUUCUUAGACAGAUAUUAUGUUCUGAAGGGAGUCACCCAAACUAUGCCACUUUAGCAUAAGGAUUAUUUUGAGCUGAAGACAAUUGAAAAGCAGCAGACUCAAGAAACGCUCACUACCUUUCUCUGUCUGCUGACAAAACAAGGCAUACAUUUCCUGUUGUGAAGGCAUCCCCUGCUCUCAUAUCAGGAAGGGAAAGACAACCUUUAUUACUGGAGUGGGGAAAGCAUGGAGAUGAGUCUGCACAAACAGACCUAUUAAAUAACCCUUACCAUCAACUGGUGUCCCCCAUAAAUUUACCUUCCCACAAUUUACUGCUCC
rnacentral:lncRNA from 1 species